rnacentral:misc_RNA from 1 species
AAGUCGUAACAAGGUUUCCGUAGGUGAACCUGCGGAAGGAUCAUUAACACGUAUCCACGUUUAUCAAACUAACACGACGAACUAUACCACUUCUCCCCGUAGACCUUCCUAACUCUGAGCUGUCGAGUGACGACUAUAAUGGGUCCAGCAAUGGACAUGUCUCACGAGACGAACGAUCCUCGAGAUCGUAAGCGAAGUACUUGGCUGGUCGGGCUUUACUCUCUCCGUCUGGGCUUUCCCAUUUAUCAGCCCCGCGGAGGGAACCCAUAACCAUUUUCACCCUAUUUUACUCAAUUGGCUAAUUACUACAGUUCUCGAGAGAAAUCUCGGUGAACUUCUAAGAUUUAUCUUAACUAAGCACAACUCUUAGCAAUGGAUAUCUUGGUUCUC